GACGGCGCGGGCGAGGCGCCGCACCAGCUCGGGGGCGUCGCCUCCACUCCACAGAAAAAGUGUAAAGCGACUGAUUGGCAUCCUUUGAAGAAUUUUGAAAAUGAACAAGUGGACUCGACCAAUUGUAGUCCGGAGCGCGUGGAGGUGUACCACUUCGAGCGCGGCGACGCGUUGUUGUGUGCGAGCGGGGG